rnacentral:lncRNA from 1 species
GGGGUUACUCUAGUAGUUACGUCCUCAAGCAUCUCAGGGUAGUGAUUGCCUGAGUGUCUAGUAUCUCCAGUGUGUUUGUGCUCGUAGAUCUAGGUUCUUCACUUGGUGGAGUCUAGGAGUUGUAAAAGUCCUGCAUAUUUUGCUCGAAGUGUACCUGCUCAUAAAGACAAGGCAGAGAUCAAGUGCAUGGGCCCUGUUGGUGGAAAACACCAACACAACCAAAAGUG